rnacentral:rRNA from 1 species
AUUGAACGCUGGCGGCAGGCCUAACACAUGCAAGUCGAACGGUAACAGGAAACAGCUUGCUGUUUCGCUGACGAGUGGCGGACGGGUGAGUAAUGUCUGGGAAACUGCCUGAUGGAGGGGGAUAACUACUGGAAACGGUAGCUAAUACCGCAUAACGUCGCAAGACCAAAGAGGGGGACCUUCGGGCCUCUUGCCAUCGGAUGUGCCCAGAUGGGAUUAGCUAGUAGGUGGGGUAACGGCUCACCUAGGCGACGAUCCCUAGCUGGUCUGAGAGGAUGACCAGCCACACUGGAACUGAGACACGGUCCAGACUCCUACGGGAGGCAGCAGUGGGGAAUAUUGCACAAUGGGCGCAAGCCUGAUGCAGCUAUGCCGCGUGUAUGAAGAAGGCCUUCGGGUUGUAAAGUACUUUCAGCGGGGAUGAAGGGAGUAAAGUUAAUACCUUUGCUCAUUGACGUUACCCGCAGAAGAAGCACCGGCUAACUCCGUG